AUGCUCACUUUGGCAGCACAUUUACUAAAAUCAGAAUGAUACAGAGAAGAUUAGCAUGGUCCCUGCACAUGGAUGACAUGCAAAUUUGUGAAGCAUUCCAUAUUUUU
rnacentral:snRNA from 1 species